GCGGGUAUGGCGGAAUUGGCAGACGCGCCAGACUUAGGAUCUGGUGUUUACACGUGCAGGUUCGACUCCUGUUACCCGCACCA
rnacentral:tRNA from 1 species